rnacentral:rRNA from 1 species
AGAACGAACGCUGGCGGCAUGCCUAAUACAUGCAAGUCGAACGAACUCUUCGGAGUUAGUGGCGCACGGGUGCGUAACGCGUGGGAAUCUGCCCUUGGGUUCGGAAUAACAGUUGGAAACGACUGCUAAUACCGGAUGAUGACGAAAGUCCAAAGAUUUAUCGCCCAGGGAUGAGCCCGCGUAGGAUUAGCUAGUUGGUGAGGUAAAGGCUCACCAAGGCGACGAUCCUUAGCUGGUCUGAGAGGAUGACCAGCCACACUGGGACUGAGACACGGCCCAGACUCCUACGGGAGGCAGCAGUAGGGAAUAUGGACAAUGGGCGAAAGCCUGAUCCAGCAAUGACCGCGUGAGUGAUGAAGGCCUUAGGUUGUAAAGCUCUUUACCCGAGAUGAUAAUGACAGUAUCGGAGAAUAAGCCCCGGAUAACUCCGCGCCAGCAGCCGC